CCAGCCUAAUCACACUCACCUAAACGACCGGCACGGCAGCAGCACCCUGAGUUUUGUGCGGUAAUUUAUAGUGCGUGCGAGGUAAUAUUACGGCCUUGACUUGUCUCAGGCGCGAGGAGCCAUAACCAUCCCCGAUUGGAACAUAGAGUAGUUGACUGUGACGAGGACGACGCAACAUCGACGGGGGUGAGGCGUCGACGACCGUCACCUUGACUGCGGCCGAGACGCCGGCCACUCGUUCACCCCUCCUCCAAGCGGCGAUUGAGUUUGAUGAUUCCAGGUGCGGGCAUCAGGACCUCUGCUAUUGGAUCCAGGUGCGGGAGAUUGAAGUAUUAAACUCAGUCUCUAACCUCCCGAACGGGACUCAGACUCUGUUGUUGGAUCCUGUUGGAUCUUGUUCGGGGAUGAGACUGACGUUCGAGUUCGAUCCUGGACGACGGGAUUGAGACGCAGGUUCUCUAACCUCCAACAGGGUCCACUCGUUCGAUCCUACCGUCGGCCAUCCUCCAAGCGGCGUGGGCGUCAAGUUCGGCUUCGACGCCCGCACCAUCCAGAACCAGAUACUUUAUUGCAAAGACGUCAGCGCCACACACCCCCAUCAAAUACUUCCAAGCUCAUCAUGUCUCCUCUCAGAUCUCAUUGGCUGCUCCAUUCUCGGUGCCUGAUUAAGCACAAGGGCGAUCCGGUACGAGGGAGCGCCAUGGGCGAACCCAGCCCUCGCGAAUAUCCAUGGAGGCGGCUGGCGGGAGACAUCGUCCUAGCGAGGUGGAUCUAGCAUCCCGUCGUCGAGGCGCCCCGCGGAGCACCCUGGCCCAUGUAAGAAGGCCACUAUGGAAGCGCCUCAUUUGGGCAAGCAACCAUGGUUCUGAUUGUUCAUAUUGAUUUUGAACUUGGAUAGCAGGGGCAUUUACUUUGUUGAGGAGGAAAAUUCAGAAGGACGCAGCAGAAGAUGUCCUUCAAGAAUACCAAAAAGGUUGCAGCCGAGAGACAAAGAUGGGAACAUAGGAUGUCCAGAUGCUGUUGUAGAGGCUUCUCACUAUGUCCAUUUGUGUUGUGUUGUUCCUUGCCAGAAUUCUAUGCAUGUGCACCGCUACUAAUUCUGCUGGCUGAAUUUUAAUCAUGCCUGCCCCACCCAAUGUUUUCUAUGUUAAAAGUGGCAUGUGAACUUCUGUGAGCAUGCCGUUUAAUUGGUUGAGAAAAUUAUACUUUGCGUAAAACUAAGUUUGUUUCUGAAUUGUGACUCUAUUGUUGAGCUCCAUGAUCUAUGAUAAAGUAUUGCCGGAAGAUGGCUGUAAUCUUGGUAGAAAGAAUGGUAUCCUGCAUCUGUAGUGCAUCGGUGACAUGAGAAAUUUUGUACAUUUUGUAUGUA